rnacentral:rRNA from 1 species
UACGUAGGGGGCUAGCGUUGUCCGGAAUCAUUGGGCGUAAAGAGCGCGUAGGCGGCCAGAUAAGUCCGGUGUGAAAGUCAAAGGCUCAACCUUUGAAUGCCGCUGGAAACUGUCUGGCUAGAGUCCGGGAGGGGCGAGUGGAAUUCCUGGUGUAGCGGUGAAAUGCGUAGAUAUCCGGAGGAACACCGGUGGCGAAGGCGGCUUCCUGGACCGACACUGACGCUGAGGCGCGAAAGCUAGGGGAGCAAACGGG